UGGACCUGCUGAGAGGUGGGGGUGCCCGAAAGGGAGCCAUAACACAGGUGCUGCAUGGCUGUCGUCAGCUCGUGUCGUGAGAUGUUGGGUUAAGUCCCGCAACGAGCGCAACCCUUGUCCCUAGUUGCUACGCAAGAGCACUCCAGGGAGACUGCCGGUGACAAACCGGAGGAAGGUGGGGAUGACGUCAAGUCCUCAUGGCCCUUAUGGGUAGGGCUUCACACGUCAUACAAUGGUCGGAACAGAGGGUCGCCAACCCGCGAGGGGGAGCCAAUCCCAGAAAACCGAUCGUAGUCCGGAUCGCACUCUGCAACUCGAGUGCGUGAAGCUGGAAUCGCUAGUAAUCGCGGAUCAGCAUGCCGCGGUGAAUA
rnacentral:rRNA from 1 species